UUCGGCAGCCAUACCACCCUGUAGCCCAAGACUGGUUGCCCACUGAAGCUAAGUAGGGCUGAGCCUGGUCAGUACCUGGAUGGGAGACCUCCUGAGAAAACUAGAAAAUGGAGGGU
rnacentral:rRNA from 1 species